CAAUUCUCCGAAAAGCUAGUUUCUGAGAAGCAGCAAAUUGCUGCUUUGCAAAAUUGCUUCUGCGGAACCUCUCCGAAAAAACACGGAGGGUUUAAAUGAAACUUUUGAACUGUCUAUUUUGUCCUCAUUCUUUCCUAAAAAUCACACUGAACCCAGCAGCCUUAUCUCUUCCUUUCAUUGCAGAUGCGAUUGUUCCCUCUCUAUCGUUCUCCUCUGCUGCUCCUUUCUUUGCCGUCAAAUCCCUAACCCUAAUCCUCAUCGGCACAAAUUGGGAGAGAAGCCCUCUACGUCUCCUCCCUUCGUCUCUGAGAAGCAUCAUCAAAAAUACGAGAAGAGCUAUUUCUGAUUGUCUUCCCAUCCUUCCCUCUCUACGGUCAACUAUUCAAGCAUUCUUCUGGUCUUCUUCAAAAACUUGGUAGUGCAGCAUCGUUCUCCAAUUCUAAAAGGUCAUGCUGAAGAUCAAGUCUGAUAUAUGAUAGUGCAGCAAUUUGAGAGUUUGAAGAGGAGGCAGUAGUGUGUACUUUUUAGUUCUCAUUUGGUUCCCUUUAAGAUAUGUUUACAGUACUUUUGUAAAACGGUAAAUCAUGAAGUUUGUAGUUUUUCAUAAUUGAGACCUUAA